rnacentral:lncRNA from 1 species
UUCCUCCAUCUCUCUACCAAAGUAGAAACAACCUGCAAAAAUAUUACCACUGUGUAUCAAGAAAUAGGAAAAGAGCAGGUAUUUUGAAAUGAAGCACAGCUUACCACUGUCUUUGCCUUUUACAAAUUCUUCCCAUUCUCUGAACCACUGCAUACUGAUGCAGUAAAAAGUUGAUGGAGAUUCUUCUUCUUGGAAUGCCCUAUAAAGCCGAAUAAACAUCUCCAAUUCAUUUUUCCUUCUUUUUUCAAGUCUUUCAGACUCUAUUUGGCAGGUAUGACAAACAUACAGAUGGUUAACCGCUGGUCCUCCUCCAUACCUGCUAUACAGAUUAUCCCAUAUAUUUU